ensembl:snRNA U1 U1 spliceosomal RNA
ACACUUACCUGGUCAGAGUUUGAUCCUAAUGGUGCUUUUUCCAUGGUGAGGCUCAUCCAUUGCACUCCAGAUAUGUGACCCCUGUGAUUUCCCCAAAUGUGGGAAACUCCACUGCAGAAUGGUAGUGGCUU